rnacentral:rRNA from 1 species
AUUGAACGCUGGCGGCAGGCUUAACACAUGCAAGUCGAACGAGUGGAAGACGGGUGAGUAAUGCUUGGGAAUCUAGCUUAUGGAGGGGGUAAACUACGGGAAACUGUAGCUAAUACCGCGUAACAUAGGAUGAGCCCAAGUGGGAUUAGGUAGUUGGUGAGGUAAAGGCUCACAAAGCCGACGAUCUCUUGAUGGUCUGAGAGGAUGACCAGCCAGACGGGGACUGAGCGACGGCCAAGACUCCUACGGGAGGCAGCAGUUGGGAAGAUUGCGCAAUGGGGGCAACGUGACGCAGCCAUGCCGAGUGAAUGAAGAAGGCCUUCGGGUUGUAAAGUUCUUUCGGUAGCGAGGCGUUAACUACAGAAGAAGCACCGGCUAACUCCGUGCCAGCAGCCGCGGUAAUAC